rnacentral:rRNA from 1 species
UGGCUCAGGAUGAACGCUGGCGGCGUGCCUAAUACAUGCAAGUCGAGCGAACUGAUUAGAAGCUUGCUUCUAUGACGUUAGCGGCGGACGGGUGAGUAACACGUGGGCAACCUGCCUGUAAGACUGGGAUAACUUCGGGAAACCGAAGCUAAUACCGGAUAGGAUCUUCUCCUUCAUGGGAGAUGAUUGAAAGAUGGUUUCGGCUAUCACUUACAGAUGGGCCCGCGGUGCAUUAGCUAGUUGGUGAGGUAACGGCUCACCAAGGCAACGAUGCAUAGCCGACCUGAGAGGGUGAUCGGCCACACUGGGACUGAGACACGGCCCAGACUCCUACGGGAGGCAGCAGUAGGGAAUCUUCCGCAAUGGACGAAAGUCUGACGGAGCAACGCCGCGUGAGUGAUGAAGGCUUUCGGGUCGUAAAACUCUGUUGUUAGGGAAGAACAAGUACAAG